UACGUAGGGUGCAAGCGUUAAUCGGAAUUACUGGGCGUAAAGCGUGCGCAGGCGGCUAUGCAAGACAGAGGUGAAAUCCCCGGGCUCAACCUGGGAACUGCCUUUGUGACUGCAUAGCUAGAGUACGGUAGAGGGGGAUGGAAUUCCGCGUGUAGCAGUGAAAUGCGUAGAUAUGCGGAGGAACACCGAUGGCGAAGGCAAUCCCCUGGACCUGUACUGACGCUCAUGCACGAAAGCGUGGGGAGCAAACAGGAUUAGAUACCCUGGUAGUC
rnacentral:rRNA from 1 species